GUAGGUGGCAAGCGUUGUCCGGAAUUAUUGGGCGUAAAGCGCGCGCAGGCGGGUCCUUUAAGUCUGAUGUGAAAGCCCACGGGCUCAACCGUGGAGGGUCAUUGGAAACUGGGGGACUUGAGUACAGAAGAGGAAAGCGGAAUUUCAAGUGUAGCGGUGAAAUGCGUAGAGAUUUGGAGGAACACCAGUGGCGAAGGCGGCUUUCUGGUCUGUAACUGACGCUGAGGCGCGAAAGCGUGGGGAGCAAACAGGAUUAGAUACCCUGGUAGUCCACGCCGUAAACGAUGAGUGCUAAGUGUUAGGGGGUUUCCGCCCCUUAGUGCUGCAGCUAACGCAUUAAGCACUCCGCCUGGGGAGUACGGCCGCAAAGGCUG
rnacentral:rRNA from 1 species